AGCUAGUUUCUAAUUUUAUCUCAAGGAAAGGACACCAUUGGCACUGGCUUUUCUAGGCACUAUGGCAAAUGAGAUAUUCCGUCUUUCCCCCAGUAUCUGCUUACUUUUUCUCUGCUUCAUUGAGUCUUAGUCUAGACUUUGUUCAGGUGGUUUGGGAGAAAUCAUUAUGCAGCUAUGUUGGAUGCAUUCUUUUUUGCCUCUUGGACUGUUGGAGUUGUAAAACACUCUAAAGUUGUGCAAUGCCUAUGAAUUAUUGAUGUGGAAAAUAUGAUUGUUAGGUUAUUACAGGCUCCCAUGGCUCAAUUAAAGUUGUGAGGUUCUACUGUGUUUCUUUUGCUUCCUCUUCUCUUUGCUAGAAGAAUCUCCACCAUGUGUUGAACAUCUUUAUAUCAUUAUGAGAAAGAUGAAAAAUAGAAGUCAAAGGUUUGAAGUAAGUGCUGAAGGAAACAACUUGGUGUAAUGCCAUAUUUUGUUUCCUCAUCUCUUCUUGUCAUAUUUUUUUUCUUCUUUUCUUUCCAAUUUGUUUUCUUCAAUGGGGGUCUAAAACCCUCCCUCAUAGCGCCCUGCAAUGCACUGUAUUGAUUGUUAUUAUUAUUGAAUAUAACAUUUCUAUCUUA